UUAUUUAUAAAAUAAUAAGUGAGACUUAUUAUUAAUUAAAUAAUUAAAUAUGACUUUAUUAUUUAAUUUACGAAAAAUAGAGAAACGCGGUCCACCGUAAGGUACGGUGUAUUUAAGUGUUGUCUUGUUGUCCACACAAGUGAUUCUAUAAAUAGAACCCUUGUGUUGAAGCAUUACUAACUUUUUGUGAGUGCUUAACCUAAUUCACAAAAGUUGUGAAACCCUAGCCGCCGCUCUCUAAACCUUGUUCUCUCUGAAUCUUCGUUGGAAUUGGCUAGCACCGGUCAUCGGAGAAGUUCUGUUCGUGUGGACUGAGUAGAGGCAUCGCUGCUUUGCUUUGCUCGUGAUCAGAAAUAUUUCUUCUACAAAGGUUCUGCUCUUCAAGAGGUAAACACAUGAAUCUUAAAGUGUUUAAGUUUCUGUUUGAUUUGUGAUUAAUAAUUUAAUCAAGAUCCGUUUCAAUGGGAUUU
rnacentral:lncRNA from 1 species